rnacentral:rRNA from 1 species
GAACGCUGGCGGCGUGCCUAAUACAUGCAAGUCGAGCGGACUUUAAAAGCUUGCUUUUAAAGUUAGCGGCGGACGGGUGAGUAACACGUGGGCAACCUGCCUGUAAGACUGGGAUAACUUCGGGAAACCGGAGCUAAUACCGGAUAAUCCUUUUCCUCUCAUGAGGAAAAGCUGAAAGACGGUUUACGCUGUCACUUACAGAUGGGCCCGCGGCGCAUUAGCUAGUUGGUGAGGUAACGGCUCACCAAGGCGACGAUGCGUAGCCGACCUGAGAGGGUGAUCGGCCACACUGGGACUGAGACACGGCCCAGACUCCUACGGGAGGCAGCAGUAGGGAAUCUUCCGCAAUGGACGAAAGUCUGACGGAGCAACGCCGCGUGAGUGAUGAAGGUUUUCGGAUCGUAAAACUCUGUUGUUAGGGAAGAACAAGUACAAGAGUAACUGCUUGUACCU